CGGCUCAGUAACACGUGGACAACCUACCCUAUGGAGGGGGAUAACCCCGGGAAACUGGGGAUAAUACCCCAUAGACUAUAGAUGCUGGAAUGCUUUGUAGUUGAAAGGUCCGCCGCCAUAGGAUGGGUCUGCGGCCGAUUAGGUUGUUGUUGGGGUAAUGGCCCAACAAGCCUGUAAUCGGUAUGGGUUGUGGGAGCAAGAGCCCGGAGAUGGAUUCUGAGAUAUGAAUCCAGGUCCUAUGGGGCGCAGUAGGCGUGAAAAUUUUAUAAUGUGGGAAAUUGUGAUAAGGGAACUCCGAGUGCCCGUAAAAUCGGGCUGUCCAUCUGUUUAAAUAACAGGUGAAGAAAGGGCCGGGUAAGACCGGUGCCAGCCGCCGCGGUAAUACCGGCGGCUCGAGUGGUGGCCACUAUUAUUGGGUUUAAAGCGUUCGUAGCUGGUCUGUUAAGUCUCUGGGGAAAUCUACUGGUUUAACCAAUAGGUGUCUCAGGGAUAUUGGCAGACUAGGGACCGGGAGAGGUGAGAGGUACUCCAGGGGUAGGAGUGAAAUCCUGUAAUCCUUGGGGGACCAUUUGUGGUGAAGGUGUUUCA
rnacentral:rRNA from 1 species